AAUUGUUUUUUUUUUCUUUUGUUACACGGGCCGAGAGACAGAGCCCGAGUAGGGCUCGGGAAAGAGUCCAAAAAGGCAUCCCAGCCGUAGCUGGGUGUGUUCACCGGGGAAGAACACCGGAAUUAGUGGACGGCGCCAUGGCAGGCGGUGUGUCCAGGGUCGAGCAAGCCAUGGUUAGUCGAAGAACCAGGUGUUUGUCGACGAAGAGGAGAUCUCGACGUCGAUGGAAGAAAAAAAAUCCAAAUGAAUUCAAUUGAAUUCGAGUGAAGACCCAUGAAAUUCUUCUGGAAUUUCUAGAAAUCGUUGGUGAAAACGAUGGGUGGUGUCCAAUUUUGCACAACUGCAGGUCGUGUGGUGUCGGAAAAUCGACGGCAAGGACCUGGGCUUCAGGCCAUAGGUCGGGACAAGGUGCUUCAAACGCACCGUUUCGGUUCAAGGCUUGCGGCCUGGGUUCUCGGUUUGGGUUGGGCCAUCGCAGGCUGCGGGCCUGGUGGCUUGCGGCCUUGCAAAGGCACGGGUUCGACGAGAACCCUAAUUUCCAAUCGCAAAAAAAAUAUUUUUCUUCAAUUCAAUUAUAUUAUAUGCAUGUAUAAUUUUAAUGAAUCACAUAUUUACGUUGAUGCAUAUGCAAAUAAUA
rnacentral:lncRNA from 1 species